rnacentral:rRNA from 1 species
CCUACGGGCGGCAGCAGUGGGGAAUAUUGCACAAUGGGGGAAACCCUGAUGCAGCGACGCCGCGUGAGUGAAGAAGUAUCUCGGUACGUAAAGCUCUAUCAGCAGGGAAGAAAAUGACGGUACCUGACUAAGAAGCCCCGGCUAACUACGUGCCAGCAGCCGCGGUAAUACGUAGGGGGCAAGCGUUAUCCGGAUUUACUGGGUGGAAAGGGAGCGUAGAAGGCAGCAGAAGUCUGGAGUGAAAUGCCGGGGCUUAACCCCCGAACUGCUUUGGAAACUGUGCGGCUGGAGUGCAGGAGGGGUAAGCGGAAUUCCUAGUGUAGCGGUGAAAUGCGUAGAUAUUAGGAGGAACACCGGUGGCGAAGGCGGCUUACUGGACUGUAACUGACGUUGAGGCUCGAAAGCGUGGGGAGCAAACAGGAUUAGAUACCCCUGUAGUC